rnacentral:rRNA from 1 species
UACGUAGGGGGCGAGCGUUAUCCGGAUUCACUGGGUGUAAAGGGAGCGUAGACGGCCAUGCAAGCCAGGGGUGAAAGCCCGGGGCCCAACCCCGGGACUGCCCUUGGAACUGCAUGGCUGGAGUGCGGGAGGGGCAGGCGGAAUUCCUGGUGUAGCGGUGAAAUGCGUAGAUAUCAGGAGGAACACCGGCGGCGAAGGCGGCCUGCUGGACUGCGACUGACGCUGAGGCUCGAAAGCGUGGGGAGCGAACAGG